rnacentral:rRNA from 1 species
AACGAACGCUGGCGGCAUGCCUAACACAUGCAAGUCGAACGAGACCUUCGGUUCUAGUGGCGCACGGGUGAGUAACGCGUGGGAACCUGCCCUUAGGUUCGGAAUAACUCCCCGAAAGGGGUGCUAAUACCGGAUAAUGUCUUCGGACCAAAGAUUUAUCGCCUUUGGAUGGGCCCGCGUUGGAUUAGCUAGUUGGUAGGGUAAAAGCCUACCAAGGCGACGAUCCAUAGCUGGUCUGAGAGGAUGAUCAGCCACACUGGGACUGAGACACGGCCCAGACUCCUACGGGAGGCAGCAGUGGGGAAUAUUGGACGAUGGGCGAAAGCCUGAUCCAGCAAUGCCGCGUGAGUGAGGAAGGCCUUAGGGUUGUAAAGCUCUUUUACCCGGGAUGAUAAUGACAGUACCGGGAGAAUAAGCUCCGGCUAACUCCGUG